GGGCUCACUUCGGCAGCACAUAGACUAAAAUUGGAACGAUAGAGAAGAUGAGCAGGUCUCCUGCACAAGGAUGCCACGCAAAUCCAUCAAGUGUUCCACAGUCUG